UUGAACGCUGGCGGCGGCUUACACAUGCAAGUCGAGCGGGCGAGGUUGCUUCGGUAACUGAGCUAGCGGCGGACGGGUGAGUAAUGCUUAGGAAUCUGCCUAUUAGUGGGGGACAACAUUCCGAAAGGAAUGCUAAUACCGCAUACGCCCUACGGGGGAAAGCAGGGGAUCUUCGGACCUUGCGCUAAUAGAUGAGCCUAAGUCAGAUUAGCUAGUUGGUGGGGUAAAGGCCUACCAAGGCGACGAUCUGUAGCGGGUCUGAGAGGAUGAUCCGCCACACUGGGACUGAGACACGGCCCAGACUCCUACGGGAGGCAGCAGUGGGGAAUAUUGGACAAUGGGCGCAAGCCUGAUCCAGCCAUGCCGCGUGUGUGAAGAAGGCCUUUUGGUUGUAAAGCACUUUAAGCGAGGAGGAGGCUACUUGGAUUAAUACUCUAGGAUAGUGGACGUUACUCGCAGAAUAAGCACCGGCUAACUCUGUGCCAGCAGCCGCGGUAAUACAGAGGGUGCGAGCGUUAAUCGGAUUUACUGGGCGUAAAGCGUGCGUAGGCGGCUUCUUAAGUCGGAUGUGAAAUCCCUGAGCUUAACUUAGGAAUUGCAUUCGAUACUGGGAAGCUAAAGUAUGGGAAAGGAUGGUAGAAUUCCAGGUGUACCGGUGAAAUGCGUAGAGAUCUGGAGGAAUACCGAUGGCGAAGGCAGCCAUCUGGCCUAAUACUGACGCUGAGGUACGAAAGCAUGGGGAGC
rnacentral:rRNA from 1 species